CCCCCUUGGCAAUGGGCAAAGAGACACCUUGUUGGUGAUGUUGUUCUUACAUCAGUCAGGGACAGAGCAGACGACAGUCCUUUGUUCAUCCUAGCUUGAUGCCUGGCUUGAUGUCCAAAGCUGUCUUUGCCCAGGACACAGAA